GUCGAGCGGGGAAAGGUAGCUUGCUACUUGACCUAGCGGCGGACGGGUGAGUAAUGCUUAGGAAUCUGCCUAUUAGUGGGGGACAACAUCUCGAAAGGGAUGCUAAUACCGCAUACGUCCUACGGGAGAAAGCAGGGGACCUUCGGGCCUUGCGCUAAUAGAUGAGCCUAAGUCGGAUUAGCUAGUUGGUGGGGUAAAGGCCUACCAAGGCGACGAUCUGUAGCGGGUCUGAGAGGAUGAUCCGCCACACUGGGACUGAGACACGGCCCAGACUCCUACGGGAGGCAGCAGUGGGGAAUAUUGGACAAUGGGGGGAACCCUGAUCCAGCCAUGCCGCGUGUGUGAAGAAGGCCUUUUGGUUGUAAAGCACUUUAAGCGAGGAGGAGGCUACCGAGAUUAAUACUCUUGGAUAGUGGACGUUACUCGCAGAAUAAGCACCGGCUAACUCUGUGCCAGCAGCCGCGGUAAUACAGAGGGUGCAAGCGUUAAUCGGAUUUACUGGGCGUAAAGCGCGCGUAGGUGGCCAAUUAAGUCAAAUGUGAAAUCCCCGAGCUUAACUUGGGAAUUGCAUUCGAUACUGGUUGGCUAGAGUAUGGGAGAGGAUGGUAGAAUUCCAGGUGUAGCGGUGAAAUGCGUAGAGAUCUGGAGGAAUAC
rnacentral:rRNA from 1 species